ensembl:lncRNA novel transcript
GUGGAGGCUAAGGAGAUUUAUAAUCUGCCAUCUGCAACCUGGAGACUAAGGAGAGCCAGUGGAAUUGUGCCAGUUGAAGUUCAAAAGCAUGAGAACCAGAAGAACUGAUGAUGUGAACAGAUGGGUCUCACUCAGUGACCCAGGCUGAAUGCAGUGGAACAAUCAUGGCUUACUGUAGCCUUGACCUUGAGGGCUUAAGCAAUCCUGCCACCUCAGCCUGCCUAGUACUGGGACUACAGAAACAUCAAAUAUAUUCAGCUCCCGUCUCUCUUCAACCAUGUAAAAUUAUUUCAACAACUAUCAGCUAUUGAAGGUGAAACUGGCAUGUCUGUUUGUUCUUCUCUUCCUGGUGUCAAAGACUCUUAAAGCAUGCAUAUAAAAUAUGAAAGUAAAUAAAACGUAA